UGAGCAAGGUGAUGGUACAUGUGG
rnacentral:piRNA from 1 species